rnacentral:rRNA from 1 species
GACGAACGCUGGCGGCGUGCUUAACACAUGCAAGUCGAACGGCAAGGCCCUGCUUUUGUGCGGUUCUCGAGUGGCGAACGCGUGAGUAACACGUGAGUAACCUGCCCUUGACUUUGGGAUAACUUCAGGAAACUGGGGCUAAUACCGUAUAGGAGCUCCUGCUGCGUGGAGGGGGUUGGAUAGUUUCGGCGGUUGGGGAUGGACUCGCGGCUUAUCAGCUUGCUGGUUGGGUAGUGGCUUACCCAGGCUUUGACGGGUAGCCGGCCUGAGAGGGUGACCGGCCACAUUGGGACUGAGAGACGGCCCAGACGCCUACGGGGGGCAGCAGUGGGGAACAUGGCACAAUGGGAGGGAGCCUGAGGCAGAAACGCCGCGGGCGGGAUGACGUUCUGCGGGUUGUAAACAGCUUUAGCCUGUGACGAAGCGUGAGUGACGGUAAUGGGUAAAGAAGCACCGGCUAACUACGUG